GACGAACGCUGGCGGCGUGCUUAACACAUGCAAGUCGAACGGAAAGGCCCUGCGCUUGUGGGUUGCUCGAUUGGCGAGCGGGUGAGUAACACGUGUGUAACCUGCCCUUGACUUUGGGAUAACUUCAGGGAACUGGGGCUAAUACCGGAUAUGAUCUCCUGCUGCAUGGUGUGGGUUGGUAAGUUUCGGCGUUGGGGGAUGGACUCGCUGCUUAUCAGCUUGUUGGUCGGGUAGUGGCUGACCAAGGCUUUGACGGGUAGCCGGCCUGAGAGGCUUAACGGCGACAUUGGGACUGCGAGAGGCACCAGACGCCAACGGUACGCAGUAGUGGGGAAUCUUGCAGAAUGGGCGGAAGCCUGAUGCAGAAACGCCGCGUGCGGGAUGCCGGGCUUCGAGUUGUAAACCGCUUUGGACUGUGACGAAGAGUGAGUGACGGUAAUGGGUCAAGAAGCACCGGCUAACUACGUG
rnacentral:rRNA from 1 species